GAGAUGUUGGGUUAAGUCCCGUAACGAGCGCAACCCUUGUCCUUAGUUACCACCACGUUAUGGUGGCCAUUUUAAGGAGACUCCCGGUGCCAAACCGGAGGAAGGUGGGGAGGACGUCAAGUCAUCAUGGCCCUUACGGCCAGGGCUCCACACGUGUUCCAAUGGUCGGUACAGAGGGU
rnacentral:rRNA from 1 species